rnacentral:rRNA from 1 species
AAUGAACGCUGGCGGCGUGCUUAACACAUGCAAGUCGAGCGAGAAAGUUCCUUCGGGAACGAGUAAAGCGGCGGACGAGUGAGUAAUACGUGAGAACCUGCCCUUUAGUGAAGGAUAUCCUUGAGAAAUUGAGGUUAAUACUGCAUGAGUCCCUACGGGGAGAAAGGCAACUUUAUGUUGUCGCUGAAGGAUGGGCUUACGGGCUAUCAGCUAGUUGGUGAGGUAAUGGCUCACCAAGGCUAUGACGGCUAACCGGCCUGAGAGGGUGUACGGUCACGUUGGAACUGAGAUACGGUCCAAACUCCUACGGGAGGCAGCAGUGAGGGAUAUUGCGCAAUGGGCGAAAGCCUGACGCAGCGACGCCGCGUGGAGGAUGAAGGUCUUCGGAUUGUAAACUCCUGUCAAAUGGGAAGAAAGGUCUAUGUGUAAUAUACAUGGAAGAUGACGGUACCAUUAGAGGAAGCACCGGCUAACUUCGUGCCAGCAGCCGCCGUAAAAC